CCUACGGGAGGCAGCAGUGAGGAAUAUUGGUCAAUGGACGCAAGUCUGAACCAGCCAUGCCGCGUGCAGGAAGACUGCUCUAUGAGUUGUAAACUUCUUUUGUACGAGGGUAAACGCAGACACGCGUGUCUUUCUGUAAGUAUCUUAUGAAUAAGGAUCGGCUAACUCCGUGCCAGCAGCCGCGGUAAUACGGAGGAUUCGAGCGUUAUCCGGAUUUAUUGGGUUUAAAGGGUGCGUAGGCGGUCGGUUAAGUUAGUGGUGAAAUCUCGAGGCUCAACUGCGAAAUUGCAGUUGAUACUGUUCGGCUAGAGAGUAGUUGCGGUAGGCGGAAUGUAUGGUGUAGCGGUGAAAUGCUUAGAGAUCAUACAGAACACCGAUUGCGAAGGCAGCUUACCAAGCUGCUUCUGACAUUGAGGCACGAAAGCGUGGGGAGCAAACAGGAUUAGAUACCCGGGUAGUC
rnacentral:rRNA from 1 species